rnacentral:hammerhead_ribozyme from 1 species
AUCCAACUGAUGCGAGUCCCAAAUAGGACGAAAUGUGCAUCCUGGCUGUAU